rnacentral:rRNA from 1 species
GUAGGGAAUAUUGGUCAAUGGACGAAAGUCUGAACCAGCCAUUCCGCGUGCAGGAAGAAGAUUCUAUGGAUUGUAAACUGCUUUUAGCAGAGAAGAAACGCCUUCAUUGAUGAGGGUUUGACGGUAUCUGCGGAAUAAGCACAGGCUAACUCCGUGCCAGCAGCCGCGGUAAUACGGGGGGUGCAAGCGUUAUCCGGAAUCACUGGGUUUAAAGGGUGCGUAGGCGGGAAAUUAAGCCAGUGGUGAAAGUCUGUUGCUUAACGAUAGAAUUGCCGUUGAUACUGAUUUUCUUGAAUUGGGUUGAGGUUAGCGGAAUGUGACAUGUAGCGGUGAAAUGCAUAGAUUUGUCAUGGAACACCAAUUGCGAAGGCAGCUAGCUGGGCCUUGAUUGACGCUGAGGCACGAAAGCGUGGGUAGCGAACAGGAUUAGAUACCCCAGUAGUCC